CAGCCGAGCGGUAGAUUACUUUCGGGUAAUUGAGAGCGGCGUACGGGUGCGGAACACGUGUGCAACCUGCCUUUAUCAGGGGGAUAGCCUUUCGAAAGGAAGAUUAAUACCCCAUAAUAUAUUAUUCGGCAUCGGGUGAUAUUGAAAACUACGGUGGAUAGAGAUGGGCACGCGCAAGAUUAGCUAGUUGGUGAGGUAACGGCUCACCAAGGCGACGAUCUUUAGGGGGCCUGAGAGGGUGAUCCCCCACACUGGUACUGAGACACGGACCAGACUCCUACGGGAGGCAGCAGUGAGGAAUAUUGGACAAUGGGUGGAAGCCUGAUCCAGCCAUCCCGCGUGCAGGAAGACGGCCCUAUGGGUUGUAAACUGCUUUUAUCUGGGGAUAAACCUACUUACGUGUAAGUAGCUGAAGGUACCAGAAGAAUAAGCACCGGCUAACUCCGUGCCAGCAGCCGCGGUAAUACGGAGGGUGCAAGCGUUAUCCGGAUUUAUUGGGUUUAAAGGGUCCGUAGGCGGACUGAUAAGUCAGUGGUGAAAUCCGACAGCUUAACUGUCGAACUGCCAUUGAUACUGUUAGUCUUGAGUAAGGUUGAAGUGGCUGGAAUAAGUAGUGUAGCGGUGAAAUGCAUAGAUAUUACUUAGAACACCAAUUGCGAAGGCAGGUCACUAAGUCUUAACUGACGCUGAUGGAC
rnacentral:rRNA from 1 species